rnacentral:lncRNA from 1 species
AUGAAGAGGACCUGGGGAGGGCCAAACGCUCCUCACAUCAAGACCCUUACCCUGGGUUCUCGGAGCACCUCUUCACUGCAAACCCAUUUGGGCUGCGAAGAGGAAACUCAAAGGCCCCACAAUCAAAAGGUUUCUGGCUGGAAUCGGAUGACAGCAACUCAGAGAUUGAAGCAGUCUUGCGUCCUCAAAACUGACAACCGUCAUGACUGAUCUCUCCUGUGAGACCCUUCAAAUGUGCUGGAUUAUAGAACUGUGCAUCUUAAGAUCUGAUUGACUCUUGGGAAUUCACCUCAUCGGCAUCCUUUCAGUGGCCUGCAUUGUAAACCGUACAGCAUGAUAUUGUAAAAACAAAUAAUAAAGUUGACAGCUCUCACUCUAGGUAAAGAAUGUGAAGAGUUGUCCAACGCACUGAUGUUAACCCUGCUUCAGUCUCUUUAUUUGAACGACUCUCCCAGCUCAUAUUAACAGCUCGAAAUAGAUUAAACUGAUCUUUUAAAGCGAUUUGUUUGCACUAGGCUAAAAAUCAUGCAUUUUGAAUGCUGCAAGCAUCUCCGAGUGCUCUGCCUCCAGUAUGCUCGAGUGUAGUGAUGUGAGUCACCUGUAAAAUGACAAAGCACAAUGGCCACUCUGCACGCUUCUGUUCGACCUGUGAUCCUGUUGAAGAGGCGCAUCUCCCAGGGCACCAAGUGAUGCAGGGAUAGCAAACUCACAAUAUUUAGAGCCU